ensembl:lncRNA
ACAUCACACUGUACCCGAAUUUUCUCUCUUCUCUUCCCCCACUUCCUCCCCAGGAAGGCAGUUUUCACCAGUGAAAUUGACCAAUUCAUCAACUGCUCACCAGGCACCGGGGAAGUCACAGUCAGACCUACAUUCGCCUUCAAAUAACAUUCUCAGGUUAGGAACUGGCCAUGACUAAAAGAGCAGAGCUGUAGAAACAUUGGGAGCAUGACCUGUGUACUCAAGUGAAAACCACAGUGUCAAGAAGGAAGCGUUGACACUCAGUGAACAUGCUAAAAACCAAUGAUGAAGCUGGGAUUCUGCAGCCACCAACCCACCAGAACUGCUCAUCCAAGGUUACUGCUGACCACCGUCUUGCCGGAUCCAGAGGCCACUUCGAUGUCUGUAUCAGACUCAGCUUCUCUGCAGUUGGUCAGUUUCCUUCCAACGGCGUUUUCAGCACUUGGAUUCCAAGU